rnacentral:lncRNA from 1 species
CUCACAGCAAGUGGCAAAAACCCUGUAAUGGAGCUCAAUGAAAAAAGAAGAGGUCUCAAGUAUGAACUCAUCUCAGAGACUGGUGGAAGCCAUGACAAGCGCUUUGUAAUGGAGGUAGAAGUAGAUGGACAGAAAUUCAGAGGCGCAGGUCCAAAUAAGAAAGUGGCAAAGGCGAGUGCAGCUUUAGCUGCCUUGGAGAAACUGUUUUCUGGACCCAAUGCGGCAAAUAAUAAGAAAAAGAAGAUUAUCCCUCAGGCAAAGGGCGUUGUGAAUACAGCUGUGUCUGCAGCAGUCCAAGCUGUUCGGGGCAGAGGAAGAGGAACUCUAACAAGGGGAGCUUUUGUUGGGGCGACAGCUGCUCCUGGCUACAUAGCUCCAGGCUAUGGAACACCAUAUGGUUACAGCACAGCUGCCCCUGCCUAUGGUUUACCCAAGAGAAUGGUUCUGUUACCCGUUAUGAAAUUUCCAACAUAUCCUGUUCCCCACUACUCAUUCUUUUAGCAAAUGACAGAAGCUAAUUCCUAUUGAACAACAAUACAGUACAACACAGAAUGUUAGAGAAAAAGCCUUUUUAUCCUGCUUUCUUUGAACACAUACUUGAUCAAAAUUAUUUGUAAAGAACAUCUUUCCUACUUUUUGAUUUUAACAAAUGCAAAUUUAGUUCUCUAAAACU